GACGUAGGGCGCGAGCGUUGUCCGGAUUUAUUGGGCGUAAAGAGCUCGUAGGCGGCUUGUCGCGUCGACUGUGAAAUCCCGCGGCUCAACUGCGGGUCUGCAGUCGAUACGGGCAGGCUAGAGUUCGGUAGGGGAGACUGGAAUUCCUGGUGUAGCGGUGAAAUGCGCAGAUAUCAGGAAGAACACCCGUGGCUAAGGCGGCUAUCUGGACCGGUACUGACGCUGAGGUGCGAAAGCGUGGGGAGCAAACAGG
rnacentral:rRNA from 1 species